CGAAUGCAGGGCAUGGCAGUGUACUUGUGCUGGGCAGAUGUACUGAACUGCUGGAAGGACUGUGGGAAUGAGAAGCUGCAUUUCUCUUGGACAGCCAGACUGCAUCAGUUCUGCCUUCCUUUCCCUGAGCUGAACGCACGGUGUGUGUGAAGCCUUGUGAUGGGAAACCCACCGUCCCCAGAGAGCGGGCGCAGAAAGGAAUGGAGCUGAGAUGCACCUGAGUGCUGUGAGUCCUCCUCUGAGGAUGGGGAGGAGCCCCAGCUGCUAAAACACCUUUGUUACAAAGAGUGGUGAAAGCAGGAGUGGAUAUGGAAGAUGUAGGUUGCUCUGGGAGGCAAGGUGGAAGUUUCCAAUGUUGUGCAGGUUCAGCACGCUCCUGCUGCCUUGGUGUGCCACGCUGCCCGCCCUUUCUACGCUGUGUCAGGUUUUUGUCCUUUAUUUUCUAAGGUAGGAAAACCAAUUUCUGGGCCAGGAGAAGAAGCAAUGCAGCAAUCUUCUCUGCACGGCCCACUUUGCCUGAGUUGCCAAGUGCUCCUGGGGUAACGAUAGGAUGUGAUGAGCCGGCCUUUGUGGCAGGGGCUGUGGCUUUAUUUUAUGCCUGUCAGAACUUGAGGCCUAGGAUUUUCCUCUCAGAGUGCCCCCCGUCUAUUUUAAAUGAUAAAAAAUGAUAUAUUAGAAACGUCUUCCCUCCUUGUCUUAGAAUAAUGCAUUGACUUUGGCUAUUUCUGUCUUUGCAUUCCUUUAGCAACUGGGCUGCUGAUGCAGCUGCACGCCUCUCCCAUUUUGUCCUUCUGCUUUGUGUCAAAGAAUAGUAAAAUAUGCCAUCUGUGUGUGGGAUUCCCUGGAAGUACUUUACUUAGUUUGCUUCCAGGAAGCAACGGUGUGGAAAUGAUGGCGGUGUGAGCCAGCAGCCCGCGCAGCGACCUGAUGUCUGAUUGUUUGGGUCUGUCAAAAAGCACCACGAUGAGGAAAGAAGGUUUGCAUGGAUUGUGUGCUGCCUGUGUCAGUCCAGCCCUGUGGACACGGCAUGGCAGGGAGAAGGGAUUUCCCUUCUGAUGGGAAAUGCCCGAGGAAUGUUGGCACCCCGCGCGUUGGUGUGUAAGCGCUGCUGAAUGGGCAGCUCAGCUUCUGUGUCACUCAGCCACGUGUGGCAGAGCAGAUCAGGCUUUGUGCAGGCGUGGGCCCAUCGCUUUGUGCCUUACAAGGAGUUGAAAACCUUCUCUUUUUGAGUCGUGUUUCCAAGUUUCACCACCAUCGGCGAAGCUGAUGUUGGUUUUUUUUCCAUCCCUCAAUUGAGUCCCUAUUUUCCUAAAUGCACAGGAAUGUGGAGGUAACCACCUACAGCAAAGUGAGUGAUUUUGGUAUUUAUUUCUGAGCGCGGCACUCAUUUCUGUUUGGAGGUGUGCCUUAAUGUACGGUGCCUGUCUUAAUUCUGAGCAAGGUUCCAGUUGCGGCUGACUUGCCCAGGCUGCAACACGUGGUAGUGACACAGCCUUGGGCUUGUGAGUUUGCCUUCAUCGCACCUUUUAUUUCUGUGCCUUGCAGGGCAGCUCGUGCUGGAAGUGGGCGGUAUCACAGUGUGAGUGAAGGCCAGUGCAGGAGCAAUUUCUGAUGUGAGGAAGGAACUGCAGGCUAAUGGGCUCUGCGGCAUCUUUGGUCUGAAUGCAGAGGAAGCAGGAAUGAUCUUGCAGAAGAAGGUGAGGAACUCUUCAGCAGGAAGCCCCAAAGCUUGCAGAAAGCUGCAAGAGAGCUGGAGCAAGUGUGGAUGCCCAGGGGAAGUGCAGCCCCAGUGUUGGAGCAAUGCCGGGCCAUGGGGUGCUGCGGCCCAGGAACAGAGCUGUUCUGCCUUUGCAAGCAGGCUUGAAAGAAGGACUUUUCUGCCUUCCUAAAAAACAGAGGGCUGGCUUAUCCGAAUACUUGCUGAUUGUUUGGAAGCCCAAACCUUUCCAGCAGCCAAGCUGUAGGCAGCCAGGAAGCAGCAUCUGCUUGGUGUGAUUGUGCAGUGCCUGAGCAAGAGUGUGACCCAAGCUGGGUGCACAGGAGUCAUCUGAAUUUCUCUGUUCCUUUACUUCAACUAACUCCACUGGGUGACGCUUGAGUUGGUUUCUCAGCCUUUGGAUGUAGGAGGUGACCACCACUCCCUUUGCUGUGAUGAAAGCACAGCGGUGAUGCAGGCACUCGCUGAGGUCACAGUCGUUGCCGGGCUGGGAGCGUUUGUGCCCCAGCUGGGAGCAGAGCUGGUGCUCUGGUGAGCGUGGUGCACGCAGGCUGAGCUGUUGUGGAGCUUCGUUGAGAGAUCAUCUGUGAGAGCCCGGUUGGAAGCAGCGCUGCGGCGUGUGCGUGAGCUGGGCACAGCUGAGGCCGAGCCGUGAGCAGGUUCUUUCCUUCGGGUUGGUUUCCCAAAGGAGAUUUUGGGAAUGGAGGCAGUUGAAGAAAGCCAGUGAAGGCAGCUGUGUCCAAGAGUGGGGGCUGUGCCUGUGGAGAGGAGCCCAGGAAGCUGAGCUUCCCCUGAGACGUUCCCCAGCAUGUCUCAGCAGGGAGACAGUUCCCAUUCCUGCUUUGCGCGUGGAAAGAAGCCAUGCGGUGCUGUUCCCUGUGUUUGGGAGCAGCAGCCAGCAGGCUGCCCCGAUGCCAGCUGGGCCUUGCAGCGCGCAAAGGGACGCGACGGGGA